rnacentral:rRNA from 1 species
CUAAUACCGCAUAACAUUGCGAGGGCACAUGCUCUUGCAAUCAAACCCGCAAGGGGCCGCUAGAGGGGUCCGCGGCCGAUUAGCUAGUUGGCGAGGUAAUGGCUCACCAAGGCGAUGAUCGGUAGCCGGUCUGAGAGGAUGGCCGGCCACACUGGAACUGAGACACGGUCCAGACUCCUACGGGAGGCAGCAGUGGGGAAUCUUGCGCAAUGGGCGAAAGCCUGACGCAGCAACGCCGCGUGGGGGAUGAAGCUUCUCGGAGUGUAAACCCCUUUCGACCCGGACGAAUGCCCGCAAGGGCUUGACGGUACGGGUAUAAGAAGCCCCGGCUAACUACGUGCCAGCAGCCGCGGUAAAACGUAGGGGGCCAGCGUUGCUCGGAAUUACUGGGCGUAAAGGGUCCGUAGGCGGUGUGACAAGUCGGUAGUGAAAUCUCCGGGCUUAACUCGGAGGCUGCUGCCGAAACUGUUGUGCUAGAGUGCGAGAGAGGCGAGUGGAAUUGCGGGUGUAGCGGUGAAAUGCGUAGAUAUCCGCAGGAGCAUCCGAGGCGAAAGCGGCUCGCUGGAUCGCAACUGACGCUGAGGGACGAAAGCUAGGGGAGCAAACAGGAUUAGAUACCCUGGUAGUCCUAGCCCUAAACCAUCAGGACUUGGGGUUUGCCCUGUACGGGGCAAGUCCCGGAGCUAACGCGUUAAGUCCUGCGCCUGGGGAGUACGGUCGCA